rnacentral:tRNA from 1 species
GCGGGGAUAGCUCAGUUGGGAGAGCGUCAGACUGAAGCACAACUUCUGUCAUGAAUCUGAAGGUCGUGUGUUCGAUCCACACUCACCGCA